GAUGAAGAACGCAGCGAAAUGCGAAAAGUAAUGUGAAUUGCAGAAUUCAGUGAACCAUCGAAUCUUUGAACGCACAUUGCGCCCGCUGGAACUCCGGCGGGCACGCCUGUCCGAGCGUCAUUUCAACCCUCAGGCCCCCCUUCGCGGGCGGGCCUGGUGUUGGGGCCCGGCCGCUACCCUGCGGCCGUCCCCUAAAUUCAGUGGCGGCCUCGCCGUGAUCCCUUGCGUAGUAAUGCACCUCGCACCGGAGAGCGCCGUGGCCACGCCGUAAAACCCCCAAUUUUCAAUGGUUGACCUCGGAUCAGGUGGGAAUACCCGCUGAACUUAAGCAUAUCAAUAAGCGGAGGA
rnacentral:misc_RNA from 1 species